UCUUGCAUCCACUUAAGUUCAAAUCUACCACAUAUCUGCAGUUCUUCACCAGAUGAGUAAUGCCAACAUCUGUUACCCUUACAUUCCAAUAAAUGGAAAAGACCUUCAGUUUAGGACAAGUAUUUGUCACUACUUCGAUUCCCUUGUCAGAGAUCCUUUGACAGCCAUUUAGAUUUAGAAUCUCCAAAUCUAAUAGGGAAUCCCCACACUUGCUUUUAACAUUUUCCAGUUGCUUGUCUUCAAUAUCCUGUGCGAACUCAAGGUUGAUGUGCUUCACAUUGCGAUAUCUCGGCAAAGAAAGAGCUGAUACAAGGCGAUCACCAGCAUCACUCAUCUCAUGAAAAUCAAGAACCAGCCAGAGGGAGGGGUGAGAAAGGAGAGUACGGUGAAUCGAAGGGCUGACAAGUAGAAGAGUGAUGAGGUCUCUUUGUUGAAGCCUCGUGGUCACUAAUUUCAUCACUUUUGGCACUGUUUCUUUGUUCCAAAUGGUUUCUGCCG
rnacentral:misc_RNA from 1 species